UACAGAGGUGGCAAGCGUUGUUCGGAUUCAUUGGGCGUAAAGCGUUCGUAGGCGGCUUGGAAAGUCGGGUGUGAAAGCCCACGGCUUAACCGUGGAACUGCACUCGAAACUUCCAAGCUAGAGGGCGAGAGGGGCAAAAGGAAUUCCCGGUGUAAGGGUGAAAUCUGCAGAGAUCGGGAAGAACACCAGUCGCGAAGGCGUUUUGCUGGCUCGCUUCUGACGCUGAGGGACGAAAGCUAGGGUAGCCAACGGG
rnacentral:misc_RNA from 1 species